GUGACGAAGCGACGCCGCGUGCGGGAAGAAGGCCCUCGGGUUGUAAACCGCUGUCGGGAGUUAAGAAAUGUAAGGAUGUUAAUAGCGUCCUUGCUUGACUAAGGCUCCGGAGGAAGCCACGGCUAACUCUGUGCCAGCAGCCGCGGUAAUACAGAGGCGGCAAGCGUUGUUCGGAAUUAUUGGGCGUAAAGAGCACGUAGGCGGCCGUGCAAGUCGGUUGUGAAAGCCUUCCGCUUAACGGAAGAACAGCAGCCGAUACUAUAUGGCUUGAGUACGGGAGGGGAGAGCGGAACUUCUGGUGGAGCGGUGAAAUGCGUAGAUAUCAGAAGGAACGCCGGCGGCGAAGGCGACUCUCUGGUCCGUAACUGACGCUGAGUGUGCGAAAGCUAGGGGAGCAAACGGGAUUAGAUACCCCGGUAGUCCUAGCCGUAAACGAU
rnacentral:rRNA from 2 species